rnacentral:miRNA from 1 species
AGGGGCACAGGGCCAAAGGGGGGACAGGGCCAUAGCUACCCCCCUACCCAGCCCUGUCCCCCCUUUGGCCAUGCCCCCCCUUUGGCCAUGU